UUGAACGCUGGCGGCAUGGCUAAAACAUGCAAGUCGAACGAGAACCUCGCAAGAGGGGACAGUGGCGGAAGGGUCAGUAACGCGAUCGAACGUACCCCGAGGUGGGGGAUAGCCGUGGGAAACCGCGGGUAAUACCCCAUGAUCUCUCCGGAGCAAAGGUUUACCGCCUUGGGAGCGGCGAUCGUCCUAUCAGGUAGUUGGCGGGGUAAUAGCCCACCAAGCCGAAGACGGGUAGCGGGUGUGAGAGCACCGACCCGCGACAUCGGGACUGAGACACUCGCCCCGGACUCCUACGGGGAGGCUGCAGUAACGAAUAUUCCGCAA
rnacentral:rRNA from 1 species